AGGAUGAACGCUAGCGGCAGGCCUAAUACAUGCAAGUCGAGGGGUAUGGGCAGCAAUGCCCAGAGACCGGCAAACGGGUGCGGAACACGUACAGAACCUUCCCUUGAGCGGGGCAUAGCCCUUGGAAACGAGGAUUAAUACCCCAUAACAUAUAGGUGUGGCAUCACAUCGAUAUUAAAGGUUCACCACUCAAGGAUGGCUGUGCGGCCGAUUAGGUAGUUGGCAGGGUAACGGCCUACCAAGCCUUCGAUCGGUAACUGGUGUGAGAGCACGACCAGUCACACGGGCACUGAGACACGGGCCCGACUCCUACGGGAGGCAGCAGUAAGGAAUAUUGGUCAAUGGGCGGAAGCCUGAACCAGCCAUGCCGCGUGGAGGAUGACUGCCCUCUGGGUUGUAAACGUCCUUUUACGGGGACGAAAAAGGGCAUUCUUGCUCGUCUGACGGUACCCGUGAAUAAGCACCGGCUAACUCCGCGCCAGCAGCCGC
rnacentral:rRNA from 1 species